rnacentral:rRNA from 1 species
CAGUCGCCGCGGUAAUACGUAGGUGGCAGGCGUUGUCCGGAAUUAUUGGGCGUAAAGGGCUCGCAGGCGGUUUCUUAAGUCUGAUGUGAAAGCCCCCGGCUCAACCGGGGAGGGUCAUUGGAAACUGGGAAACUUGAGUGCUGAAGAGGAGAGUGGAAUUCCACGUGUAGCGGUGAAAUGCGUAGAGAUGUGGAGGAACACCAGUGGCGAAGGCGACUCUCUGGUCUGUAACUGACGCUGAGGAGCGAAAGCGUGGGGAGCGAACAGGAUUAGAUACCCGCGUAGUCCCUGUCUCUUAUAC